GUUCUAUUUUUGGCGAAAUUAAGACCAAGAAAACAAUCUGAAGAUGUCUUUUUUGUUUAGUUUUAAUGCCAUGAUUUUAAUAGUCCGGCCAUGCGGCCCCUGAGAUAAAAUGAGUUGGACGCCCCCGUGCUAGUUGAUGUUACCAUUAGUUACCACCACCAUGCUUGACAGUAGGUGUUGUGUUCCUGGGAUUAAAGGCCUCACCUAUUUCAACUUUUGUGGCCAAACAGCUAAUUUUUUUUUUCCAUCUGACCACAGAACUUUCCUCCAGAAGGUCUUAUCUUUGUCCAUGUGUUGUAGAAAUUAUCGGAACCUCAAGACAGCCAUGACAUUAUAUCCUUUACAAGUGUGUGUAAAAUUUUGACCACGACUCUAUGUACAUUUAUUCAGUUAUAAACAUUUGUUCCACUUUCUUCUUUCCUUCAUGGAUCUAAACUUUACCGCAGAAGGUAUUUUUUUCUAUAUAUUUAUUGCAAUAUUUUCAGAUUGUGUUUGUUCUAUUUUUGGCCAAAGUAAGACAAAGAAAACAAUCUGAAGUUGUCUUUAUUUUUUUGUUUUAAUGCCAUGAUUUUUAUGUGUGCACAGAUGUUCCUCCAUGCGGCCCCUGAGAUAAAAUGAGUUGGACACCCCCGUGCUAGUUGAUGUUACCAUUAGUUACCACCACCAUGCUUGACAAACUUUCCUCCAGAAGGUCUUAUCUUUGUCCAUGCAAUGCAGAAAUUAUCGGAACCUCAAGACAGCCAUGAAAUUAUAUCCUUUACAAGUGUGUGUAAAAUUUUGACCACGACUCUAUGUACAUGUAUUCAGAUAUAAACAUUUGUUGACUUUCUUCUUUCCUUCAUGGAUCUAAACUUUACCGCAGAAGGUAUUUUUUUCGAUAUCUUUAUUGCAACUUUAUUUCGGAUUGUGUUUGUUCUAUUUUUGGCGAAAUUAAGACCAAGAAAACAACCUGAAGUUGUCUUUUUUUUUUAGUUUUAAUGCCAUGAUUUUAAUAGUCCGGCCAUGCGGCCCCCGAGAUAAAAUGAGUUGGACACCCCCGUGCUAGUUGAUGUUACCAUUAGAUACCACCACCAUGCUUGACAGUAGGUGUUGUGUUCCUGGGAUUAAAGGCCUCACCUAUUUCUCCUUUUGUGGCCAAACAGCUAAUUUUGUUUUUUCCAUCUGACCACAGAACUUUCCUCCAGAAGGUCUUAUCUUUGUCCAUGUGUUGUAGAAAUUAUCGGAACCUCAAGACAGCCAUGACAUUAUAUCCUUUACAAGUGUGUGUAAAAUUUUGACCACGACUCUAUGUACAUUUAUUCAGUUAUAAACAUUUGUUCCACUUUCUUCUUUCCUUCAUGGAUCUAAACUUUACCGCAGAAGGUAUUUUUUUCUAUAUUUUUAUUGCAACCUUUUUUUAGAUUGUGUUUGUUCUAUUUUUGGCCAAAGUAAGACCAAGAAAACAAUCUGAAGUUGUCUUUAUUUUUUAGUUUUAAUGCCAUGAUUUUAAUAGUCCGGCCAUGCGGCCCCUGAGAUAAAAUGAGUUGGACACCCCCGUGCUAGUUGAUGUUACCAUUAGAUACCACCACCAUGCUUGACGGUAGGUAUUGUGUUCCUGGGAUCAAAGGCCUGACGUAUUUCUCCUUUUGUGGCCAAACAGCUAAAAAUUUUUUUUCAUCUGACCACAGAACUUUCCACCAGAAGGUCUUAUCUUUUUCCAUGUGUUGUAGAAAUUAUCGGAACCUCAAGACAGCCAUGACAUUAUAUCCUUUACAAGUGUGUGUAAAAUUUUGACCACGACUCUAUGUACAUUUAUUCAGAUAUAAACAUUUGUUCCACUUUCUUCUUUCCUUCAUGGAGCUAAACUUUACCGCAGAAGGUAUUUUUUUUCUAUAUCUUUAUUGCAACUUUUUUUUAGAUUGUGUUUCUUCUAUUUUUGGCCAACUUAAGACCAAGAAAACAAUCUGAAGUUGUAUUAAUUCUUUAAUUUUAAUGCCAUGAUUUUAAUAGUCCGGCCAUGCGGCCCCUGAGAUAAAAUGAGUUGGACACCCCCGUGCUAGUUGAUGUUACCAUUAGUUACCACCACCAUGCUUGACAGUAGGUGUUGUGUUCCUCGGGUUAAAGGCCUCACCUAUUUCUUCUUUUGUGGCCAAACCGCUAAAUUUUUUUUUCCAUCUGACCACAGAACUUUCCUCCAGAAGGUCUUAUCUUUGUCCAUGUGUUGUAGAAAUUAUCGGAACCUCAAGACAGCCAUGACAUUAUAUCCUUUACAAGUGUGUGUAAAAUUUUGACCACGACUCUAUGUAUAUUUAUUCAGUUAUAAACAUUUGUUCCACUUUCUUCUUUCCUUCAUGGAUCUAAACUUUACCGCAGAAGGUAUUUUUUUUUCUAUAUCUUUAUUGCAACUUUUUUUUAGAUUGUGUUUCUUCUAUUUUUGGCCAAAGUAAGACCAAGAAAACAAUCUGAAGUUGUAUUAAUUCUUUAAUUUUAAUGCCAUGAUUUUAAUAGUCCGGCCAUGCGGCCCCUGAGAUAAAAUGAGUUGGACACCCCCGUGCUAGUUGAUGUUACCAUUAGUUACCACCACCAUGCUUGACAGUAGGUGUUGUGUUCCUGGGAUUAAAGGCCUCACCUAUUUCUCCUUUUGUGGCCAAACAGCUAAUUUUUUUUUUCCAUCUGACCACAGAACUUUCCUCCAGAAGGUCUUAUCUUUGUCCAUGUGUUGUAGAAAUUAUCGGAACCUCAAGACAGCCAUGACAUUAUAUCCUUUACAAGUGUGUGUAAAAUUUUGACCACGACUCUAUGUACAUUUAUUCAGUUAUAAACAUUUGUUCCACUUUCUUCUUUCCUUCAUGGAUCUAAACUUUACCGCAGAAGGUAUUUUUUUCUAUAUAUUUAUUGCAAUAUUUUCAGAUUGUGUUUGUUCUAUUUUUGGCCAAAGUAAGACAAAGAAAACAAUCUGAAGUUGUCUUUAUUUUUUUGUUUUAAUGCCAUGAUUUUUAUGUGUGCACAGAUGUUCCUCCAUGCGGCCCCUGAGAUAAAAUGAGUUGGACACCCCCGUGCUAGUUGAUGUUAUCAUUAGAUACCACCACCAUGCUUGACAGUAGGUGUUGUGUUCCUGGGAUUUAAGGACUCACCUAUUUCUCCUUUUGUGGCCAAACAGCUAAAAAAAAAUGUUUUAUCUGACCACAGAACUUUCCUCCAGAAGGUCUUAUCUUUGUCCAUGUGUUGUAGAGAUUAUCGGAACCUCAAGACAGCCAUGACAUUAUAUCCUUUACAAGUGUGUGUAAAAUUUGGACCACGACUCUAUGUACAUUUAUUCAGUUAUAAACAUUUGUUCACUUUCUUCUUUCCUUCAUGGAUCUAAACUUUACCGCAGAAGGUAUUUUUUUCUAUAUUUUUAUUGCAACUUUUUUUUAGAUUGUGUUGGUUCUAUUUUUGGCCAAAGUAAGACCAAUAAAACAAUCUGAAGUUGUCUUUAUUUUUUAGUUUUAAUGCCAUGAUUUUAAUAGUCCGCCCAUGCGGCCCCUGAGAUAAAAUGAGUUGGACACCCCCGUGCUAGUUGAUGUUACCAUUAGAUACCACCACCAUGCUUGACAGUAGGUCUUGUGUUCUGGGAUUAAAGGCCUCACCUAUAUCUCCUUUUGUGGCCAAACAGCUAAUUUUGUUUUUUCAUCUGACCACAGAACUUUCCUCCAGAGGGUCUCAUCUUUGUCCAUGUUUUGUGGAAAUUAUUGGAACCUCAAGACAGCCAUUUGAUGUUACCAUUAGUAGUUUAGCAGAACAUAAAUAAACGGCUACAUUGUUCACAAUUACUCAUUGUCUGGCGUUAGGGUUGCCAACACCCUGAAAAAAGAACAAGGCACACCUAGCAGGGCUGGUCCAUCCAAAUAUUUUUGCUUUUUUUGUUCGCGUGAAAGGAGUUUAAUAAUCCCACAAAGGUUGAAUUGAGGCAAGCGGAUUCUUGCACGUGACAAUGUUUGCAUUCAUGAUAAAUUAUAGUUAUUAUGAUCAUUUUACUUUUAUUUUAGCCUUCAAUUCAUUUGCUGCAAGGUACUUUGGAAUUGCCUUGUGACGAACUGUGCUCGAUAAAUAAAACCUCGCCACGCUUUGGUUUGACUUUGUACUAUUUGACUCCCACCAGAAUUUAAACAGACGCGCAGGUUUUGCCAGAAUACAAAUACACGGCAACCAAAUUGUUGAAUUAAUUUUUUGUGCAAAAAUACAAGCUUUCUUGUUUAAAGGCGUACGUCAACCAGCAAGUUUUUGGACGGGAAAAUUGUGAUAUCAAGUCGGCUCUUACCGGAGACUUCAGUGGAUUAUGGGACCUCCUCCUGCAGCUCAAAAAGGCAGCUGUGAUCUUGGCUCCUCGGCGUUCUCUCAGAGACACUGGCGUUCACCGCAGCCAUCCGACUUUCAGGCUGGACGACUGCAACGCACUUCUUGUCGGGAUCCCCAGCAAGAACAUGCAGAAGCUGCCGUACAUACAAAAUAGUGCUGCGAGGAUCCCUUCACUGGCUUCCUGUUCCACUCAGGAUUGAAUUCAAAAUCUCCCUCCUAACUCACCAGUGCCUCCAUGGAAAUGCCUCCCUCUACCUCAAAGAACUGCUCAACUCCAAAUCCUCCACACGACACCCGCGCUCCAAACAGGCUAACCUCCUCCAACCUCCACGGAGACUGGGGUUUCUGCUCCGCUGCUCCCAGUCUGUGGAACGCUCCCUGACCACCUGAGGGCACCUCAGACUGUGGAUGUUUUUAAAAAAGGCUUAAAGGGGAACAUUAUCACCAGACCUAUGCAAGCGUCAAUAUAUACCUUGAUGGUGCAGAAAAAAGACCAUCUAUUUUUUUAACCGAUUUCCGAACUCUAAAUGGGUGAAUUUUGGCGAAUUAAACACUUUUCUGUUUAUCGCGCUGGAAGCGAUGACGUCAGAAUGUGACGUCGCCGAGGUAACACACCCGCCAUUUACAUUUCCAACACAUUACAAACACCGGGUCUCAGCUCUGUUAUUUUCCGUUUUUUUUACUAUUUUUUGGAACCUUGGAGACAUCAUGCCUCGUCGGUGUGUUGUCGGAGGGUGUAACAACACUAACAGGGAGGGAUUCAAGUUGCCCCACUGGCCCGAAGAUGCCAAAGUGUCUGCCGCCAGACCCCCAUUGAAUGUGCUGGAGUUUCUCCACAUUUUACCGGCGAUGCUAAAGCAGACAUGGCACAGAGAUGUAUGGAUAACCUGCAGAUGCAUUUGCAACGAUUAAAUCAACGAAAUCACAAAGGUGAGUUUUGUUGAUGUUGUUGACUUAUGUGCUAAUCAGACAUAUUUGGUCAUGGCAUGACUGCCAGCUAAUCGAUGCUAACAUGCUACGCUAAUCGAUGCUAACAUGCUAUUUACGCUAGCUGUUUGUACAUUUGAAACUACAUACCCGCAUUUAAUGCGAAACAAACACUUACCAAUCGACGGAUUGGUAAGUGUCUGCCGCCAGACCCCCAUUGAAUGUGCUGGAGUGUCUCCACAUUUUACCGGCGAUGCUAAGACAGACAUGGCACAGAGAUGUAUGGAUAACCUGUAGAUGCAUUUGCAACUAUAUUACGUUUCCUCCCACCAACAUUUAAUGCGAAAAAAACACUUACCAAUCGACGGAUUUAAGUUGCUCCAGUGUCAAAAAAUGCAAAAGUCCUGAUCGUUUGGUCCGCACAUUUUACCGGCGAUGCUAACGCAGCUAUUCGGCCAUGCUAUGGCUAUGAAUAGCGUCAAUAGCUAUUCGCUCGAUAGCUUCAGUUUCUUCUUCAAUAUUUUCAUACUCCAACCAUCUGUUUCAAUACAUGCGUAAUCUGUUGAAUCGCUUAAGUCGCUGAAAUCUGAGCUAAUGUCGCUAUAUCUUGCUGUGGUAUUCCCAUUGUUUGUUUACAUUGGCAGCACUGUGUGACGUCACAGGGAAAUAGCCAGUGUCUUCGCAGAGAGCGAAAAUAAGGCACUUUAAAGCUUUAUUGAGGGAUAUUCCGAGACCGGUAAAAUUUUGAAAAAAAAUUCAAAACAUACAACAAGCCACCGGGAACUGAUUUUUAUUGUUUUUAACCCUUUUGAAAUUGUGAUAAUGUUCCCCUUUAAAAACCCAACUUUUUUAAAAAGCCUUUUUGUAGACAUGCAUGCAGGCUGUUUGUAGUUUUAUAUAGUAUUUAUUUUUAUUAUUACUAUUUUUUUACACUGUGGCACUUUGAGGUUGUUUGCUCAACGGAAAGUGCUUUUUUUUUUUUUUACAAAUAAAAUCUAUUAAUAUUAUUUGUUCAAUUGAAAUGAAUGUCUUCUCUUUUAGCGACUAGGUUUGUGGUUGAAAGUUCGCAUUUUCGGUAGGUGAAUGUUCAACUGGAGUUGCAAUGUUUUUAUUUUUGCAACCACAUGUUCUCUCAGUCAUUAUAAUACACAAGUAAAACCCAUAAAAUUAGAAUAAGGUGUACAAGUCCGAAUUAUGUCAGCAAUUAACUUCAAAUGUGAAACUAAUAUGUGGUAUUAACUCGUUACAUGCAAAGUGAGAUAUGUCAAAUCUUAAGUUAUAAUUUUGAUAUAACUUAAGAAUUAUAUCAAAAGAUAUUGGAUAUAAUAGACUCCAGCACCCCCCCACGACCCCAACAAGGACAAACGGUAGAAAAUGGAUGGAUGGAUGAUAACAUAAAUAUUGAAUAUUUUCAAUUCAAAGUUUUCAUAACCAUAAUCAUCAAAGUAACCAAUAAAUUGCAUGUCAAAAGUUAAUAUCGCGUUACAUUAUUGAGUAGUUUGCACAUGAUUCAAUUCCAUGAAAGAAAAUUAACUUCUGACAUUUAUUUACAAAAAAAAAAAACUGCUUAUUUUCUUCUAUGCGAUGUAUGUAACUUUCUAAGGUCAUGUUACCUCCGAACGAUCUUGAGUGGAGACAGGUCAGCAGCGCAGAGACGUGGCCCCAACUGAUGCACGGAUGAGUGCUCCACCCUGGGUCCCGACUUUGGACAGCUCGCGCUUCAUCUGCGGUCACCGAAUCUGUGCCCAGAAAAGAAACGGCAGAUCAACUGGUCUAAAAAAGGUGGCUCUAUUUAAACGCCAGAGUGUACAAAUGAGUUUUAAGAUGGGACCUAAAUGCUUCUACUGAGGAGUUGCUGACAGUGGUGUUCCUGAGCCCAUGUGGUGAUAUCCUUUACACACCGAUGUCGCUUUUUGAUGCAGUACCGCCUGAGGGAUCGAAGAUCCGUAAUAUCAUCGCUUACGUGCAGUGAUUUCUCCAGUUUCUCUGAACCUGUUGAUAUGACAGACCGUAGAUCAUGGGUGUCAAACUCUGGCCCACGGUGUAAUUUCAUUUGGCCCUUGAGGCAAUAAUAAAUUAACAUUAGAGCUGGCCCGCCGGUAUUACACAGUGGCGGUGCCGCUGUAACACCGCAUUCAACGCCAAUUCUCAUACUUGCCAAGCCUCAAGGGUGGAGGACAGAGUAAAACAACUUGCACUGAGCCUAGUCUAUAAAAUCCGCUACACCUCCUUGAUACCGAAGUACAUGUCAAAUUACUUCCUUAACGUAAAUGACCGCCAUAACCACAACACCAGGGGGAGCUCCACAAACCACGUUAAACCCAGAUUUCGAUCUAACAAAGGUCUUAACUCAUUCUCUUUCUAUGCCACAUCAAUGUGGAAUGCACUCCCAACAGGUAUAAAAGUAAGUGCAUCUCUAUAUUCCUUCAAAACCGCUCUAAAACAACACCUCCAGGCAACUUCAACACUUUACUAAUACCCUCCUCCAUUCACAUCCCAUCUCCCCGGAUUAUAAACAACUCAAAUGUACUUCUAAUGUAUAUACUUGUUCUUAUGCUAUGUGAACUCACUAUGCUCUCUGCUGGCUGUACAUAUCCUACUAAAUAAGACCUACACUGUUUCAAUGUCCACAUUUCUCUGUUGAUGCAAUUGUUGAUGACUGAAGUACUGAUAUCAACCAAAGCUCCUCAUCCCACCCCCCGGAUUGUAAAUAAUGUAAAUAAUUCAAUGUACAUACUAUGAUGAUUAACUUGUGUGAUGACUGUAUUAUGUUGAUAGUAUAUAUUUGUACCAUGAAUUGAUUAACGUGGACUCCGACUUAAACAAGUUGAAAAACUUAUUGGGGUGUUACCAUUUAGUGGUCAAUUGUACGGAAUAUGUACUGUACUGUGCAAUCUACUAAUAAAAGUAUCAAUCAAUCAAUCAAAGCCUCCCUAUUUUUCCAGGAGAAUUACGAAUUUCAGUGCCUCCCCCGAAAAUCUCCCGG